CCCGCAUUUGUCGCCUUGCCCUUGGCCAAGUGACAAACCCGACAACGCUCCACAAACUUGCCGACAUCUUUGCGCAAUGAUGGCCAAAAGUAAGAAGUAACAACAAGUUGCAAUGUUCGGUCACGACCCACAUGGCCCUUAUUAUGCAACUCUUGAAUGAUCUUCAACCUCAAACUGCCCUCUGGAAUACACAACGGAUUGCCAUGAAAAAGAUAACCAUCAACCCAUGCAAACUCCAACUGCAAACCAUCCUGCAACUUCUGAAUAACAUGGGAAAAGAAUGGGUCAGUAGCAUAUAAGUCACAAAAACUGUCAAAACCUGGAACCUCCACUCACAUUUCCAUAAGGAAAGUUUGGCGCCUAUUCAAUGCAUCUGCAAUUUUGUUAAUGGCAUCUGUCUUGUACUUGAUCACAAAAGUAAACUACUGUAAGUAAGCAAUCGAAGAGGCAUGUUGAGCAGAUACCUUAUCCUGAGUACCAAGGUGUUUAAGGGCGUCAUGAUCCUUAUACAAAAUGAACUCCUUGUGGAUCAAAUAGUGAUGCCAAUGUCGAAUGGCUUGGACUAUUGUAUAGAACUCCACAUCAUAAGUACUAUACCGAGACUUCAGGCCAGAAAGCUUCUCACUAAAAUAUGCAAUAGGGCGGUUGUUCUGACUCAGAACACCACGAAUACCCACUUUCAAAGCAUCACAAUGUAGCUCAAAUGGUUGGGUAAAGUCCGGCACACCAAAAAUGGAGCAGUAGUCAACUUCUACUUAAUCAAUUGGAAAGACGACUCUGCCUCGUGAAUCCACUGAAACCUACAAUCCUUCAUGCAAUCUGUAAUUGGUGCCAUGAUGUUACUAAAAUAUAGUAUGAACCUGUGAUAGAAGGAAGCAAGCCCAUGAAAACUUAGCACCUCAGUGACAGUCUUGGGCUGUGGCCACUUACUUAUCGCCUCUACUUUAGAUGUAUCAACUGCUAACCCCGCCUUCGACACCACAUAACCCAGGAACACCACAUUAUCAGUAAGAAAUGAACACUUCUUCACUGCAGCAUAGAAUUUAUCCCUGCGAAGAACUGAAAGAACUUCCCGAAGGUGCUAGACAUGAUCAUCAUCGUUAGCACUAUAAAUUAAAAUAUCGUCAAAGUAGACCACAACAAAUUUACCAAUGAAUGGGCGAAGAUCCUCAUUCAUAACCCCGCAUAAAUGUACUGGGUGCAUUUGAGAGGCCGAAGGGCAUGACUAACCACUCAUACAAUCCUUCCCUCGUCUUAAAUGCGGUCUUCCACUCAUCCCCACGUCUGAUCUGAAUCUGAUGGUAACCACUCUUCAAAUCGAGCUUGCUAAACACACAAGCACCGGUAAGAUGGUCCAACAAAUCAUCCAGGUGGGGAAUAGGAAAGUGGUAACGCACCGUAAUCUUAUUGAUCGCCCUACUAUCCACGUACAUGCGCCACGUACCAUCCUUCUUUGGCGUGAGAAGAGCAGGAACAACACAAGGACUAAGACUCUUCCUGAUGUGUCCUUUUGCCAGAAGCUCCGCAACUUGCUUAUGCAACUCCUCAUUCUCAGUGGGGCUCAUUCUGUAAUGCGCUCAGUUAGGAAGGAUAGCACAUGUACCAAGUCAAUUUGAUGCUGAAUAUCCCGCAGUGGUGGUAAUCCAUCUGGAAGUUCUUCUGGGAAAACUUCAUGAAACUCCUUCAGCAAUGGCUGAACUGCAAGAGGGACUUGAUGUUCACUUUCAAUCGACUUUCCAACCAGCAUAUACACUACCCCAGACUCCUCCAUCUCUGUCUCGAACUUCUUUCUGGUCAGUAAAUUGGCGUUCUUCCCAACUAUUUGUACUGAACCCUUAUUCGGUAGUAACACAAUUUUCUUUCUCCUAAAUAGAAAGUUGUACGUGCUGGUAUAUCCAUCAUGCAGUGAGUGCCUUUCAAACUGCCAUAGCCUUCCUAACAGUAAAUGACACGUAUCCAUCUCUACUACAUCACAUAAAACCUGAUCCUUGUAGGUAGGUCCAAUGGAGAAGCUGAUUCGAGCACGUUGAGACACUUCUACGUCAUUGCCUCUUUUCAGCCACACUAAUUUAUAUGAUUUGGGAUAUUUCUCAAUGUGCAAACCCAGCUUCUUAACGACCUCCUCAGCCACCACAUUCACAUAACUACCAGAAUCAAUAACAAAUUUACAUACCUUCCCUCCAAUUGUACAUGUCGAUUGAAAAAUAUUAUUAGGGAACCAAUCAGUGUUAUUCUCCAAGGGAGUUAGGAAACUCCUCCUCAGCACCAGUGCCUGACCCACAUCACCAACCACAAACUCUUCCUCUCCUGUUGCUUCUUCUACACCUUCACCGUCAAAUACAGUCGGACCUUCAUAAUCGCCAUUCCCCUCAUCAACAAAGAGUCCCCUGCACGGAUUUUCGGGGCACUCAGACUGCCUAUGGCCUGUAACUCUGCAUCCAAAACAAUGAACCCCAGGAUGUGUUGGUUGUUGGACAUGAUUUGUUCUAGGAAUACCAGAUUGAGUAGGAUUAUUAGGACGUGUCACCUGCUGUUGUGGGUUACUGGAAGAACUCCCCCGCAAUGAAAGGACUAGUAGUUCUCCUGGACUAUUGCUUCUCUUUCUGUAUUGCCCUCUGAUGUACUUCAAAAAUUGUUACAGGAUCAAACAUAUUGAGAGUAUCCUGUAUUUGGAGACGAAGACCACCCACGUACCAUGACACCAACUGCUCCUCCAUCUCCAUCAUCUCGUUCCUCGUAAUCAGCAUAUAAAGAUUCGUGGAAUAAUCACUAAUCAUUUUCGCACAUUGACGCAGAUUCUGCGGUUGUUGGUAUAUGGUCCACACAUAAUUGUAAGGCAAAAACUGUUUCUUCAUAUGCUUCUUCAAUUUGCCCACGAUGCAAGCUUAGGUUCCCCUAGCCUGGCUCUCAUCACCUAAGUCUGCUGCCACCAUGCCACUGCUCGCCCACGAAUCCUCGUCGCAAUGAGAGGCACACAUGUAUUAGUAGGAACCUCUUUAGACUCCAAGAUCUCCUCAACUGCAGUCACCCAAUCCAAAAAUUCAUCUAGACUCAACCUACCAUGAAAUUCUGGAAUAUCAACCUUAAAUCCUGAUUCCCAACGUCAAUUGUCUUCCUGACCACCCCUUCUCCAGCAAACUGGUAGAUCCAAUGGUUGUUCAAGCGGUGCAAACGGAUUCUCAUCAUCGGAAUCCUUAAGCUGUUGGCCUACAGGCGCAGGCUGCUGCUGCAUAAGUGUAGCGAUCUGCUGUGUCAGCAAUUCCACUUGUUGACAUAACUGUGCGAUUUCAUCACAUCUAUGUACCUUCUCUACUGAGGCAUCACGGGCUUCAAGACAUCUCCUUAGCGGCAUGGUGAAGGAACAAUUUCGGCUCUGAUACCAACUGACGUAGCGAAAGAUCAUAGGAAAAAUGAACAAUCACAAAAUGAGAAAACUCUCAAGGGAAUUUUAUUGAAUUCAAGACCGCCGCCUCAAAGGGCUUACAACACUUUUAAA
rnacentral:lncRNA from 1 species